rnacentral:rRNA from 2 species
AGUCGAACGAACUCUGGUAUUGAUUGGUGCUUGCAUCAUGAUUUACAUUUGAGUGAGUGGCGAACUGGUGAGUAACACGUGGGAAACCUGCCCAGAAGCGGGGGAUAACACCUGGAAACAGAUGCUAAUACCGCAUAACAACUUGGACCGCAUGGUCCGAGUUUGAAAGAUGGCUUCGGCUAUCACUUUUGGAUGGUCCCGCGGCGUAUUAGCUAGAUGGUGAGGUAACGGCUCACCAUGGCAAUGAUACGUAGCCGACCUGAGAGGGUAAUCGGCCACAUUGGGACUGAGACACGGCCCAAACUCCUACGGGAGGCAGCAGUAGGGAAUCUUCCACAAUGGACGAAAGUCUGAUGGAGCAACGCCGCGUGAGUGAAGAAGGGUUUCGGCUCGUAAAACUCUGUUGUUAAAGAAGAACAUAUCUGAGAGUAACUGUUCAGGUAUUGACGGUAUUUAACCAGAAAGCCACGGCUAACUACGUGCCAGCAGCCGCGGUAAUACGUAGGUGGCAAGCGUUGUCCGGAUUUAUUGGGCGUAAAGCGAGCGCAGGCGGUUUUUUAAGUCUGAUGUGAAAGCCUUCGGCUCAACCGAAGAAGUGCAUCGGAAACUGGGAAACUUGAGUGCAGAAGAGGACAGUGGAACUCCAUGUGUAGCGGUGAAAUGCGUAGAUAUAUGGAAGAACACCAGUGGCGAAGGCGGCUGUCUGGUCUGUAACUGACGCUGAGGCUCGAAAGUAUGGGUAGCAAACAGGAUUAGAUACCCUGGUAGUCCAUACCGUAAACGAUGAAUGCUAAGUGUUGGAGGGUUUCCGCCCUUCAGUGCUGCAGCUAACGCAUUAAGCAUUCCGCCUGGGGAGUACGGCCGCAAGGCUGAAACUCAAAGGAAUUGACGGGGGCCCGCACAAGCGGUGGAGCAUGUGGUUUAAUUCGAAGCUACGCGAAGAACCUUACCAGGUCUUGACAUACUAUGCAAAUCUAAGAGAUUAGACGUUCCCUUCGGGGACAUGGAUACAGGUGGUGCAUGGUUGUCGUCAGCUCGUGUCGUGAGAUGUUGGGUUAAGUCCCGCAACGAGCGCAACCCUUAUUAUCAGUUGCCAGCAUUAAGUUGGGCACUCUGGUGAGACUGCCGGUGACAAACCGGAGGAAGGUGGGGAUGACGUCAAAUCAUCAUGCCCCUUAUGACCUGGGCUACACACGUGCUACAAUGGAUGGUACAACGAGUUGCGAACUCGCGAGAGUAAGCUAAUCUCUUAAAGCCAUUCUCAGUUCGGAUUGUAGGCUGCAACUCGCCUACAUGAAGUCGGAAUCGCUAGUAAUCGCGGAUCAGCAUGCCGCGGUGAAUACGUUCCCGGGCCUUGUACACACCGCCCGUCACACCAUGAGAGUUUGUAACACCCAAAGUCGGUGGGGUAACCUUUUAGGAACCAGCCGCC